GACGAACGCUGGCGGCGUGCUUAACACAUGCAAGUCGAACGGAAAGGCCCCGCUUUUGUGGGGUGCUCGAGUGGCGAACGGGUGAGUAACACGUGAGUAACCUGCCCUUGACUUUGGGAUAACUUCAGGAAACUGGGGCUAAUACCUGAUAGGAGCUCCUGCUGCAUGGUGGGGGUUGGAAAGUUUCGGCGGUUGGGGAUGGACUCGCGGCUUAUCAGCUUGUUGGUGGGGUAGUGGCUUACCAAGGCUUUGACGGGUAGCCGGCCUGAGAGGGUGACCGGCCACAUUGGGACUGAGAUACGGCCCAGACUCCUACGGGAGGCAGCAGUGGGGAAUAUUGCACAAUGGGCGGAAGCCUGAUGCAGCAACGCCGCGUGCGGGAUGACGGCCUUCGGGUUGUAAACCGCUUUCGCCUGUGACGAAGCGUGAGUGACGGUAAUGGGUAAAGAAGCACCGGCUAACUACGUG
rnacentral:rRNA from 1 species